rnacentral:rRNA from 1 species
AUUGAACGCUGGCGGCAGGCCUAACACAUGCAAGUCGAACGGUAACAGGAAGAAGCUUUCUUCUUUGCUGACGAGUGGCGGACGGGUGAGUCAUGUCUGGGAAACUGCCUGAUGGAGGGGGAUAACUACUGGAAACGGUAGCUACUACCUCAUAACGUCGCAAGCCCAAAGAGGGUGACCUUCGGGCCUCUUGCCAUCGGAUGUGCCCAGAUUGUAUUAGCUAGUAGGUGGGGUAACGGCUCACCUAGGCGAUGAUCCCUAGCUGGUCUGAGAGGAUGACAGGCGACACUGGAACUGAGACACGGUCAAGACUACUAAGGGAGGCAGCAGUGGGGAAUAUUGCACAAUGGGCGCAAGCCUGAUGCAGCCAUGCCGCGUGUAUGAAGAAGGCCUUCGGGUUGUAAAGUACGUUCAGCGGGGAGGAAGGGAGUAAAGUUAAUACCUUUGCUCAUUGACGUUACCCGCAGAAGAAGCACCGGCUAACUCCGUG